UUGCUUCAGCAGUACAUACACUAAAAUUGGAACAACAUGGAGAAGAUUAGCAUGGCCCCUGCACAAGGAUGACACAAAACUUUGUGAAAUGUUUCGUUUAAAA